AACCAAUUUCAGGGUCACAGGACUUACUGGUUAAAAAAUAUUUGGGACACAGUCUUGUUUUCCCGAGCACGAGCUGUGUGUGGGAACCUUAGUAAUAAUCUAAAGGCAUAAUUGCUUUCAUUGCAUGACUUGACAAACUUGCAAAAACAGGUUUCAGUUCUAUUUGUGGACUUUUAUCAAACGUGUUCAGGAAUUGACUCCUCAUGUCUCGUGUGAACUUUCUUUUUUAGGCAUAAAGCAGCGUCAGACAAGGCAAUGCAUGCCGCCCAGGGCCAAGAUUGUGCCGAGAAGCAAUGCAAACACAAGCUGGCAGACAAACAGACAACGAUUAGACGGGUGAAAAACACAAAACAGAGUGGUGACAUCCUCUCCAGGGUGAGGGCCAUCAAGAGGAUCAAUCUUCUCCUGGAGAAAUGGGGAGUGAGGCGGCACCACAGGACACGAGCGUGGACGUCUGAAAACGCUGCUUCAUAGAGAUCAGGCUCAUCUUUGCUGAUCCACCACAGAACUUACCUGGAUAAGAAGCUCCUCUCUGCUCAUUUAUCGCACACGUCUUGUGCUUUCAUGCCAUGGGGUGUCAUCAGGUGUGUUGGAAUACCUACUGAUGCAAGCGUCUUGGAUUGUGGUGUUUGUCAUGUGGGCUCCACCUUAGAAGUGAGUCAGUAUCAGUGUGGCAUUAUGGAGCUCAGGGGGAUGAAAAACCAACACCCAAACCUCAAAUUAUAAAGACUAACCUCUAUCAACACUAAAUGUUUCUGAAAUAGACCUUCUGGUGCAUGGGAUAACUAGAUGAAGAAGCCAAGUGGGAUGUUUAAAUUAAACUGAUUGCAAAUAAUGACUAGCAUUGAAGAUAUUUGUUGCACAUGAGGAAUAUGCUGAAACUAAAUGAAACUGUGGAAUCAGGGACUCCAGAAACACAUCAGAGGACACUGAACAUCAAGCCACUACAAGCCAAAGACUCUUUCUUGGAUCUUGUUACUGGACUCAUUCACUUUAUUCACUGUAAAACAAUGAAGCUCUGUAACUGCGUCAAUGCUUCAGUGGAAUUGCUAUUUUUCACAUUUAUGUUAAAUAUUUAUCUUUAGCCAUAUUGGCUAAUAAGAUUUUUCUCAAUGUUAUUUCUAUGAAAUGAUAGCAUUUAAUUGCCAUUAAUGUGGUUAACUUUUUUAGGCAAUAAUAAAUAUUUUGCAUUAUUUAAAC